ensembl:lncRNA
UUGUGUUUUAUUCAGACCAAGGGGGGGGGAAGGGUCAACAACUCCUUGGAAACGUAAGGGGAAAAUUUAUAAUGUCAAAACUUACAUCAUCCCAUACCUCCAUGGAUUUUAAACCAUCCCAAUAAAAUGAAACAGGCAAUUUGAAGAGCUAUAAAUUCAUAACACGAGACAUCUUCUGGUGAAUUAAUGCAUAUAUCUUUAUCAAAGUAUGAUUAAAUGGCCACAAAAUAAAUCAUUUAAAUCAACCAAAUAAAUCAACAUCUUAAAACCAUAUCCCAUGCCGACAAUCUGACCCUAGUGGCAGGGGACAAUCUGACACUAGUGCCAGUAGUGGGGACAAUCUGACACUAGGGGGCAGUAGUGGGGACAAUCUGACACUAGGGGGCAGUAGUGGGGACAAUCUGACACUAGUGCCAGUAGUGGGGACAAUCUGAUACUAGGGGCCAGUAGUGGGGACAAUCUGACACUAGUGCCAGUAGUGGGGACACUCUGACACUAGGGGCCAGUAGUGGGGACAAUCUGACACUAGGGGCCAGUAGUGGGGACAAUCUGACACUAGGGGCCAGUAGUGGGGACAAUCUGACACUAAGGGGCCAGUAGUGGGGACAAUCUGACACUAAGGGGCCAUAGUGGGGACAAUCUGACACUAGGGGCCAGUAGUGGGGACCCUCUGACACUAGGGGGCAGUAGUGGGGACCCUCUGACAUUAGGGGGCAGUAGUGGGGACACUCUGACACUAAGGGGCAGUAGUGGGGACACUCUGACACUAAGGGGCCAGUAGUGGGAGUAGUGGGGAUAAGCUGAACACAUUGGUACUCGUCUAUGUAAUGAUGGUAAAAUGGAUCUGAAAGGGUUAAAACAAAGGUGAUGGGUGCCUUCCUACACCGAUCCCACUGAAAUCAUCAAUGGAUCGGUCAAUAAGAAGGCAUAGUAAGGCCUUGUCCUUGGAACUGAACAGCAGCCUGACAUCAACUACCUCAAACGAUUGAUCUGCUCUUGGCUCCCUUCGAUCAAUAGGUCCAACAUUGAGAUGAGAUCAGACUUGUUGCUCCAUCUACAGUACCUGCAACUGUUUUACCAGGGGGGAGAGAGAGAGAGAGAGAGAGAGAGAGAGAGAGAGAGAGAGAGAGAGAGAGAGAGAGAGAGAGAGAGAGAGAGAGAGAGAGAGAGAGAGAGAGAGAGAGAGAGAAAGAGAGUCACAUGAUCAUUUGUGGAAAAAAAGUAUAUUGUUAUACAAACAGUUCAUGUGUGCUCAU